rnacentral:rRNA from 1 species
UGGGGAAUUUUGGACAAUGGGCGAAAGCCUGAUCCAGCAAUGCCGCGUGUGUGAAGAAGGCCUUCGGGUUGUAAAGCACUUUUGUCCGGAAAGAAAUGGCUCUGGUUAAUACCUGGGGUCGAUGACGGUACCGGAAGAAUAAGGACCGGCUAACUACGUGCCAGCAGCCGCGGUAAUACGUAGGGUCCAAGCGUUAAUCGGAAUUACUGGGCGUAAAGCGUGCGCAGGCGGUUGUGCAAGACCGAUGUGAAAUCCCCGAGCUUAACUUGGGAAUUGCAUUGGUGACUUCACGGCUAGAGUGUGUCAGAGGGGGGUAGAAUUCCACGUGUAGCAGUGAAAUGCGUAGAGAUGUGGAGGAAUACCGAUGGCGAAGGCAGCCCCCUGGGAUAACACUGACGCUCAUGCACGAAAGCGUGGGGAGCAAACAGG